AAGUCUCUCAAAGUGGCACCCAGCUUGGGCGGGGAUGGCUUUCCUUUACUUCCGUUCUUGCUUGAGAAGCAAUUGGUGGUUUUUGUUCCUUUGCCAAGAGGAGGGUUCCUGAGGACACAGACUCACUUUCCCAGGUAGGUGGGGGGGGUGUGUGUCUCCUUCCCUGCUUCUUUGAAGCUGCCUCCUUCAUUGAUCUUAUUCCGGGAGGAGCCUUUGGAAUGCCCUGAAACUGGGGGGUGGGGGGGAAGCAGUUGCUAAGAAAGGAUUCUGCAUGGGGGGGGAGCAUCUCCUUGGGGACCUAUUUCUCACUGCUCUCUUUCUUCCAAGAGGGAGGCUUCGAUGUGAUCUGAGAGGUGACAUAAUAGCCACUUUCAGACAUCGGAAGCGCUUUCCCACGGAAGGUGGAGCAAGCUGGUUUUCUGCUGCUCUGGAGGGCAGGACCCAGAACUGAUGGAUUCACAUGACAAAGGAAGGCGAUUCUGACUAAACAUUAGGAACAACUUCCUGGUGAUGGGAGCCAUUCCACAGUGGAACUGACUCCCUCGGAAGGCGGUGGACUCGCUUGCGUUGGAAGUUUUUCAACAAGGGCGGGAUGGCCAUCCGUUAGGGACGCUAUAGCUAUGACUCCUGUAUUGCAAAGGGCAGGACUAGAUGUCCUUUGGGAGUACCUUCCAAUCCCACAAUUCCAAUUCUACAACUUCUGCUCAGAGAAGCACUUCCCUUGGGACAGCGAAAGUGGAGAGGGCCUUCCUAUCUGGAGUGCUUGGGGGGGAGCUCUUGUUGAACCCCAAAAGCGAGAUGCCGGCGGGGAGGCAGCUGAUUCUUCGCUCCCCACCCACCUCCACCCGCUGCAGCCUCCUGGCCGCGUCCCGUCGGGGCUGGGGUAGUGGCGGCCGGCGGCCGCAGCGUUUCAGCACCAUCGCGGCGCGGACAGCGGCCCCAGGUCCGCCCGCGGCGGCUUCCUUCGCUUCUCCUCUCCGGCGCCAGCAGCUGCUUCGGACGGGGCGGGAGCGGCCGCAGGAGUCGGGGCAGCGCCACCCCCCGCGGGAGGCGCCCCUUCUCCGCUUGCCUCCCCGGGGCCCGGGGCCACCCGCCAGCUUCCAGCCACAGCCGGCAGCAUCCCCUUCGCUUUUACCUGGACUGCGGCUCCUACGCUCGCCGGGAGCUGCUCCUUCCUUUGAGGCGGCGCGACUUCCCCACGAACCCCAGACCCGGACGCGCCGCUGCGGAUUUGCCCCUCGACGGCCGACACUCUGGCUGCUCUUUAGCCAGCGGGGCCAGGCCGACCUCCUUCGCCAGCCGGUCUCUUUCCCCGGCUGCAGGAUGCAAAAAGAGGCCAGCUCGGCCUCGCCAGGGGAGGGGAAGGGGCGCCCUGCCCCCACCGACGCCUCCCGAGCUGGCCCAGAUGGCCCGGGACUUGCCUGGCGGAGCUGAGCCCUGCCAAGCUGCCCAGGACAAUAUUUGAUGAGCAAAUAGUGGGGGCAGGCAGUUCUCCCCCGGCCUGGGCACCCAGCAAUUGACCCUCAUUAGCCCCCCCUCUCCAUGCCGCCGCCUCCCCUCCCUCCCUCCCGGGCUCUCCACCGAGCAGGCUGCCUCGGAGGCGACCAUCUGGUCCCCAUUACACAUUAACCACGGCGCCCUCCCGCUUCGCCAGCCCCGUCGGAAGGGAGGGAGGCACAGGGCUGGCCGGGUUCCCUGUGGGCCCUGCACCCCGCAGGGGGGAGGGGAGGCUCGUGGGGAGCCUGGGGGCGACCACGCUGUAGCCCGGAUCCCCCCUUGCCCCUGUCACCAAAAGGGAGCCGGAGCGGACGCGCCAAGGAGCAGGGCGGCGUGCGUAAUGGCACCGAAGGUGGUCGGCGAGAGCCCUGCGAGCUGGUGUCGUCCUCGACAUCGAAAGGGCCCGGGGACAAGGCCUAGAAAGCUCCCCCCUACCCGCCCCCUCCAACUCGGAGAGCCAAGCCAGCAACUGGGCCGAGUCGGCUCCUGCUCCGCGGUUCUGCAAGGCGGGGGCCUCCGGGGCGCACGGCGGCAAGAGGCGCCUCAUAGCAGGAACAGGCGCUUCUUCCACAGCCCCGACUUGGGAGAGCCUUCUGGAGUGGCGCAGGGGUGGGGGGCUCGGGAAAAAGGUGUAAGCGUGACCCCCUUCUCAGAGCCUGGAUGGAAGGAGCUGCUGGACGCCAUGCGGAGGGGUCUAGCCCUGGCCCGACGGGCGUCCCGGGAAGUGGCGCCCGAAGAGGCGACUCUGUGCCUGGCGCGCUCCGCGCAGAACUUCACCAAGGGCGGCGGAGAGGAGCCAAGGCGAGAGGCUAGGGACACAGGAAGCUGUCUUGCACCGAGUCAGACCAUUGGGGCCAUGUAGCUCCGUACUGUGUGCACUGACUGGCAGCGGGUCUCUCCUAGCUUAAACUGGAGCUACCUUUGGGCAUUGAAACUCGGGGUCCCCUGUCUGCAGAGCUGGUGCUUUGCCGCUGAGAUGCGGCCCAUCCCCAGCCGCGGAAUCUCGACUGGAAGGCGUGGAAAUGGGGGUACGGAGACGGGCCAGGAGAGAGAGACCGGCUGCCCAACCACCCCAGCCAAACCCUCGGGCACCCGCGGCUCCAGCUCGCCUUGGUGGCCGCGCGCGUUCCUUUCUCACCAAACUCAAGCGCAUUUCACUGCUUUCUUUCACAAUGCAAAACGCACAGCUUAUCCCUUAGCUAGAAUACAGAAUUAGAGAGUUUGUCAUACAGGCGACGUUUAAAACUACAAACGUUUUGCGCAAGCCAGCUUUUUACUCUCCAGGCUACCCCGCUCCCUCUUGUGGGUUUGGUCCAAAACUUAAUUCCUAGGCAGACCAGAUUUUAUUUGCGGUGAUGUGGCACCUACAACAGAUCUAUGGAUUCCUCUGCCUCGCACUGUACUGACCUCCCCUCCUGCAAGGCAGAUCAAGACGCGCUUCCCGGGCUCCAAUCCGAACUGGGUCCCAAGUUGCCCAAGCAACUUGUGGACCACGCGGCUGCAACGCCCAGGGCGCAAUCCCAGGCCGGCUGCGGUUCUCUCAGGGGCUCCGGCUGCAUGCAUUUAAGGCACGUGACUUCCCCAGAAGAACCCUGGGAAUUGUAGUUCGUUAAGGGUGCUGGGGAUUAUAGCUGUGUGAGGGUAAACUGCAGUUCCUAGAAUUCUUUGUGUGUGCGGGGGGGGGGGGGGAAUAAUGUGUUUUUAGAUGCGUGGUGUGUACACAGUUUCAGGCAAGCAGCUCGUCAGGAAGCAGCCCCAGGUGAGCAGGGGGUCAGGCAGAAGACAUUGCUCCUGCAGCUCUCAGAGGCAUGGAGGCCCCAAAGCCAAAGGGGGGGCUCCCCAAACCCCACCCUGGGCCAGUUUCAGCCUCUGGGAGAUUUCUGCAGGCAGUCCUCCUCUUCUGCCCUGGAGCACUCUUGCCUGGGAGGAUCUCAGCCAGCCUCUUGCAGAGCCAGCAUGGUGUAGUGGUUAAAAGCAAUGGACUUGUAAUCUGGUGAACUGGGUUCGUGUCUCCGCUGCUCCACAUGCAGCUGCUGGGUGACCUUGGGCCAGUCACACUUCUCUGAAGUCUCUCAGCUCCCCUCACCUCACAGAGGGUUUGUUGUGGGGGAGGAAGGGAAAGGAGAAUGUUAGCCGCUUUGAGACUCCUUCCGGUAGUGAUAAAGCGGGAUAUCAAAUCCAAACUCCUCCUCCUCCUCCUCCUCCUCCUCUUGUGGCAUCGUUGCUCCUGGGGGCUGUUCUGCCUCUGCGUCUGAUGCCCAGCUCACUUUCUGUUGGGGGGGAGAGCACUGCCAGUCCCUCCCAAGGCUGCUCCCUUCUUCUCAGCUGUUGUUCUAGGGCAGGCAUAGGCAACCUCGGCCCUCCAGAUGUUUGGAGACUACAAUUCCCAUCCUCCCUGACAGCUGGUCCUGUUAGCUAGGGAUCAUGGGAGUUGUAGUCCCAAAACAUCUGGAGGACUGAGGUUGCCUAUGCCUGUUCUAGGGGUUGUUCCUGAGUGGCUGGAGGCCACUGAGACAGAUCCUGCACCACCACCUUCUCCUUGGAGGCAGGACACCCGGCCAGCGCCAGUUCUACACAUUUUGCCAUAGGAGGAAAAAGUCUCCACUGCUGCCACCACCGAGAGAACAAAGUCUGCAUGGGGUGGGGAAUAAAGUCUUUCUCCCUUUCAUGUCCCAAACAGGCUUCCUUCCCUUGGUGGCAGCACUGAGACCACCCCAAAGGGAAGAUAGAGGGUCUCCCCUUUGUUCCUCUUCUGCUGCCACCAAGAGAAGGAAGCCUGAGGGUUCCCAUCCCAUCCAGCCCAUAGCAGGGUUCGGGUCUGAGGGUCACAGUUGUUUGAGUGGAGAAGUGGCAAGGUUGGCCACUCGGGAGGGAGCAGGUCUAAUGGACAGCAGCAUCACCGUUGCUUCCAGUGUCCAAAGGGCGCCAGAAGGCGGGAAGCAGCAAUUCAGAAGCAGCAAAGGCUCUGCCCGCUCCUCUUCCUGCAUCUUGGAUCUCUGCAUUGUGUAUUUUAUAUAUUUGAAUCUGCCACCCGCCCUUCCCCACAGGGUCCCAGGGCAAAGCCCACCCAAUGAAAAAUUAUUUUUUUUUAAAAAAAAUGAUAUUUAUUAAAGUUUCAAAAGAAGGAUACAUAAAUAAGAAAAAUAAAAAUAGAAAAAAUAAAAAUACAAAAUACAAAAAACAGAAAACAAUUAAAAACAAUUCCAUCUUUUCAUCACUUCUCUUUCAUUUGCUUGUUUCCCGGACCUCCUCAUACCUCCCUUUUUUGUAUUCCAGUUCAAUUUAUUAGUUCAGCAAUUCCUUUCCCUCCUUUUUAAACCUGAUCUUUAAUCUUAAUAUAUUAUAGCAUUAGGUUUUUACAUAUUGAAAAUCUAAUUUUUCCAUAUUCUUUUAUACCAUUACAGCUAGAAACCACUUAACUUCAAUCCAACAUCAUUCUAACAUUCAUUAAUUUUGCAAUAUUUCUGUAAAUAGUCUUUAAAUUUCUUCCAAUCUUCUUCCACCGACUCUUCUCCCUGGUCUUGGAUUCUGCCAGUCAUUUCCGCCAAUUCCAUGUAGUCCAUCAUUUUCAUCUGCCAUUCCUCCAGUGUGGGUAGGUCUUGUGUCUUCCAAUGCUUUGCAAUAAGUAUUCUUGCUGCUGUUGUACACCCAAUGAAAAAUUAAAGCAUCAUCAAAGCAUCAAUUAAAACAGCAGAGGAAGUCCUAUGGUGCAGUUGUGCUCCUGAUCAGAUGCAGGAGAGAGGAUCUGAUCUGAAAUGACGCACCAGCUCCCAGAGGCACCUGAGAUGGGGGCACAGGCACCUCCAAGGAGAGGGAGCUGCAGAACUGUGUGUGUUUGUGGUGGGGAGACCACAGAGGAAGUCCUCCCAGGUGCCCCUGCUCCUUGGACCAACCACUCCCUGCCCCACUCCCUGAUCUUAAUAUUUGGGCAGGUCUGUGUGGGCUGAGGUGAAUCCAUCAUUCUCUAAUGUUUUAUAUGGUCUUACAGUUUAAGGAAACUCUUCAAAAGCACUUGACUCCUUCCAAAAUAAGAAUAGUCCAUAGGGUUCCCCCCCAGCUUUCCUCAAAAUUUCUGUUGGGUCCCCCCCCCUUUUAAGGCCUUUGCCGUGAAACAUUUCCCCAUUGACCUGCCUUCCCGCAGGGCUUUCAUCUCUCUAAGCAGGACCUGAGCACAACAGCAGCCUCCCCACUUGCGAUACUCAGCAUCUGAGAUUCAGAAGCAUGGCUGACUCCGACUGUGGAGGGUAGAGCAGAGCUAGGAGCCCUCCAUAGCCCUCUCCUCCUCCAUGAAUUGGUCCAAUCCUCUUCUAAAGCCAUCCAAGUGGGUAACCAUUCCUGCUUCCUUGGGGAAGCGAGUUCUACAAUUUAACUCUGCGUUGCCUGAAGAAAGACUUUCAUUUAUAGGUCCUGAAUCACAGAAGAGGCAGUCUACAACAGAAAUCUGAGUGCAUUGUUUAUCUUCUGUCUGGUAGGUUACCUGUUAACGGUCACUUGAUUGAUACCCUGGGGAGCCUGGCCAGUCUUUUGUAAUGACAAAUACUUAGUUCCUGAGUCAGGUCACAGGCUCACCCUAUUCAUACACAGACAUACCCUUAAGACAGGAUUUGUGAAGGAAAAGACAAUGGGGAGCCAGUGUGGUGUAGUGGUUAAAAGCGGUAGUCUCGUAAUCUGGGGAACCGGGUUCGCGUCUCCGCUCCUCCACAUGCAGCUGCUGGGUGACCUUGGGCCAGUCACACUUCUCUGAAGUCUCUCGGCCUCACUCACCUCACAGAGUGUUUGUUGUGGGGGAGGAAGGGAAAGGAGAAUGUUAGCCGCUUUGAGACUCCUGAAAGGGAGUGAAAGGCGGGAUAUCAAAUCCAAACUCCUCCUCCUCUGCGACCUUGCAGAGAAAUAUUUGAGGUGAAUUUGGGAGGGACAAAAUGGUUUCAGGACUUUUUCUGUGGGGUUUCAGACAUGUGGUUUAUAUAUUCAGUUAUGAACAUUUAUUAUAUAUAUAUAUUAUAUAUAUAUAUAUAUAUAUAUAUAUAUAUAUAUAUAUAUAUAUUCAUAUAUACAUAUGUAUAUAUACAUAUAUAUAUAUAUGACAUUAACUUUUAAUUUCACUUCCAAGCUUUCACUUUCUACAAGUGCCUGGGGACCCUCUGUCUGCAGAGAAGGAAACACAAGUGGCUUGGGGUUGCCACCUCUGUGAUGACCUUGGCUCUGAGAAGAAGCUCCUCCACAACUGACCACCACUCUCUGCCUCAGCCAAGGGCUCUGCUGUGCCAUCCCUGCCCUUCCUGAGUCCUGGGAACUCUUCCUCUGAUAACGAGAAUCUCAUGAUCUUGAAUAAGUGAAC
rnacentral:lncRNA from 1 species